CGUACUACUGCCAGAGACUGUCAGUCCUGACAACAGCAUGCGGCACUGCUGUCUAGGGGCAUUAUCCCGCCUAUGGCAUUGUCAACCCUAGUGAUUUGAUAGUCCCACGGCGAUUUGAUACCUUAUGGCGACUCUGACAGUCUACAGUGACUUGACAAUUCUUCAAUUGUCCGCGCCAUUAAUGACGGCGCCAUACCACGCUCCACUAUAUAUAUCGAGGAAGGCAACAGUGCUAG
rnacentral:lncRNA from 1 species